GUGGGGAAUAUUGGACAAUGGGCGAAAGCCUGAUCCAGCCAUGCCGCGUGUGUGAAGAAGGUCUUCGGAUUGUAAAGCACUUUAAGUUGGGAGGAAGGGCAGUAAGUUAAUACCUUGCUGUUUUGACGUUACCGACAGAAUAAGCACCGGCUAACUUCGUGCCAGCAGCCGCGGUAAUACGAAGGGUGCAAGCGUUAAUCGGAAUUACUGGGCGUAAAGCACGCGUAGGUGGUUUUGUAAGUUGGAGGUGAAAUCCCCGGGCUCAACCUGGGAACUGCCUCCAAAACUGCAUGACUACAGUACGGUAGAGGGUAGUGGAAUGUCAUGUGUAGCGGUGAAAUGCGUAGAUAUAGGAAGGAACACCAGUGGCGAAGGCGACUACCUGGACUGAUACUGACACUGAGGUGCGAAAGCGUGGGGAGCAAACAGGAUUAGAAACCCGAGUAGUCC
rnacentral:rRNA from 1 species